AUUGAACGCUGGCGGCAGGCCUAACACAUGCAAGUCGAGCGGUAGAGAGGUGCUUGCAUCUCUUGAGAGCGGCGGACGGGUGAGUAAUGCCUAGGAAUCUGCCUAGUGGUGGGGGAUAACGUUCGGAAACGGACGCUAAUACCGCAUACGUCCUACGGGAGAAAGCGGGGGGAUCUUCGGACCUCGCGCCAUUAGAUGAGCCUAGGUCGGAUUAGCUAGUUGGUGAGGUAAUGGCUCACCAAGGCGACGAUCCGUAACUGGUCUGAGAGGAUGAUCAGUCACACUGGGACUGAGACACGGCCCAGACUCCUACGGGAGGCAGCAGUGGGGAAUAUUGGGACAAUGGGCGAAAGCCUGAUCCAGCAAUGCCGCGUGAGUGAUGAAGGCCUUAGGGUUGUAAAGCUCUUUUACCCGGGAUGAUAAUGACAGUACCGGGAGAAUAAGCUCCGGCUAACUCCGUGCCAGCAGCCGCGGUAAAGUGACU
rnacentral:rRNA from 1 species